AUCCAAGUGAUGAGUCCUGAACAGGACGAAACUAACGUCCUGGAU
rnacentral:hammerhead_ribozyme from 1 species